GUCUUUCUUUUGGUAAACCAGUCUUUCAGGUCUCUAGAAAGAAAAAUAUUCUGGACUAACAGCCUAGCCUCACAUGUCCAAGCAUGAAACUUCAUAAAUGAUGUUUGUAAUUUGCACUAUUGCAUAAGACUUCUUUUGGUCUUGUUUGUUAUUAAACUCCCCAGUGAUACACCUUAGGAGAAGAAUGUGGAUAAACAGAACUUUUUUUCAUCAAGACUGUUAAAAAGUGAUUCCCACCACUCCUACUAGCUGUUGUAAAGUCACAUCCCUGCACAUGGCCUUUCCUGGACUGUGUGCACAGCAAUAUCAAGUUACUGAAAACCCAGAAGUAAGCAGCUGAAUCCUGUGUCACUUGAGACCUGACCCUGCACCAUUCAAGUCACCAAAACACUUGCUGCUGACCUCAGGAUCAGGGCAGAGCAUUCCCUGUAUGAAAACAAGAACGAUGUAAUAUUUGCUGCAAUUCAAGCUUUGGUGAGGUGCAUUGAUUAAAAGUAACAGAGUUGCACAAUUGCUUAUUCCUGAGUGGCUAACAUCGUAUCCUUUCUGGUAUACUAAACCAGAGCACUUUGUUAGAUAAAUGCUGAUAGUUAAAGCUGUAACCUGUACUUACCAGAUAAAAAGGACUUAGGGCACUUUCUCUUGUCUUUGUUGUCUUCAGUUUUCUCUCAGAUUUGCAGGAUAAAGGGCAUCAUUGCUCAAACCAUUACCUAAAGGGAGUAGUUGAUCAGAUAUUUUAAAGCUUUUUACAGCCAAAUGUCUGUGAGCUUUCAGGAAUUUAAGCGGUGUGAUAAGAAACUACUAAACUGCAUGGCACUAAAGCUAUGAAAUGCCUAUGAGUAAGUGCUAAAUGUUCAGCAUUUCAGAAGGAAAAUAUUUUCAUUGAAGCAGAUGUUUCUCAGAUUCUUCAGGAGCCUAAAACAUUUCCUGAAAGUGUUGCUACUCUCCACAGGGAAAGACAGAACAGCUCUUCAUUUGGAAAUGAAGCAUCUCGUGAUGAAAAAAAAUUUGAAGGAUAAAAUAGCAGGAUUAAUGAAGAGCUUAAUGAUCUCCUGCUGUGAUGAAGUCCAGGAAGUAGCUGCUGUAGAAGGCGAUGUUCUGGUACCAGCUGAGGAGCAUUUGUGGAGGAGUCAUGGAAGAUUUUGGUCUUCUUUCAGAGAGAGGAGGUGUUUGGACUGAUUCAGAUUACUCCUGAAGGCAAGCAGUGGCAAGGAUGCCAGGACUUAAGGCAUCUUAGAUUUCUGUAUAACUUAGAGUUACCUGUAAUUUCCUGCCUCUCUGGGACAGAAGAGUUAUUAAAAGCAGUAUGCCAAUGGCUUCAGAUACUGAUAUUGCCAGAUGUUCUUCAAACCAGGGUACAGAGUCUCUUACUGAUGGUAUAGAUUUAUACCUCUCUGAUGCUUUUGGAUGUGACCAGCAG